rnacentral:lncRNA from 1 species
GGUGGCUGAAAGCCUCAGCUGGCAUUUGUCUGUUUUUGGCUUAAUUAACCUCUAGUUUAGGCAUGCCUCUUUGUAGUUCUUGUGUAUACACUUAUUUUGGUCACCUUGAACAACGAUAACCCACUUGCGCUAGCUGACGCAGAAGUCAAUGCGGAGCUAGCCCUGGACCCAGUCUUCCCAGAUCUAUCUGCCUGUCCUGACCCUGAGCCUGCCUGCCGUUCUGUCCCUGUUUGACCCUGCCUUGGACUACGAACCACUGCCUGCCCUCGACCUGCUCUUUGCCUGCCCCUUUGUAUAAUAACAAUUCUGAGUGUCGAAUUAUCCAC